GCAGCUGCACUCCUAGUAGGGCAAGUUAACUACCUCGAUCGCGCCCCGUCUUACAUCGGGCGUGAUGCGCCUGCAUAGUUACGCUUUUCUCAGCGCUUGAACGUUCAUAGAUGUGCUUCUUUUGUGCGUUCAGCGCGGCUUCUUGUAAUACGGUCGCUCGCACUUAAGUUAAAUGUGGUCGACCACUUUUGCGUCGCGUAGAAAAAGGACGACUGACUUUGCCACCUUUCGAAAGAACUGGCGCGGUAUUGGUUCUCCCUGAUGCGGUCGCGUGCUGCUGUUGCUGCUUGCCGGGCGCCUUUAACAUGUUUUCGGCUCGCUUUGUCUGUGCGUGUGUGCGCGCUCGCGCUCGGCUCGAUUCGUGUGUGUGCGUGCGCUCAGCUCAGCUCGCUUUGUGUGUGUGUGUGUGUGUGUGUGUGUGUGUGUGCAUGCAUGCGUGCGUCUUGCGCGCGCAUACAUGCCGGUUUGUAUGGGCCGGCGUGCUUGCGUGUGUCUAGUGCGUACGUGUUUUGUGAGCGUGUUUCUGUGUGGGUCACUGUGUGUGCGUGCACGUGUUAGCGUGUCUGCCUGCAUGUAUGUGUGAUUGUUUGUGUUUAUCAAUGUGCGCGUACGUGCCUUUGUGUCUGCGCUUUGAGAGUGCGUAUAUUUGUGUGCGCGCGAGUGCGUUUUGUGUGCGUGCGUAUGUAUUGCAUAAGGCCGGUAGAGUUUUACUCGCAAUAAAACUCUUCCAAUUUGGUGCAGCGAGUGUUGCCGCCUGAAAGCCGAGUUUGGUUUCAAGCCAACCUGGACAACUGCUGUAUGAGGCGCUGUUUCUCAGGAGGAUCAGUGGGAAGGCGUCAGGUCAUGCAGAUGAUAGCAUCAAUUUCACGAUGCCCAGCCUUGGUGCCCUCCAUUAAGAGCAAGCCACUUGCGUUUGCCUUCAGGCAGAUUGUUGAUGUCUUCUAGGAAGCAGUUGGGAAGACUACAUUGAUGCAAGAUUCCAGCAAUGCCAUGCGCUGCAUUUAUUGGUCAAGAUGCUCAGAGAAUGGAGUCCCUGCACCUCGUGGUGAAACGUGAACAUUUUCUUUCUUUUGGAAAGCUAAACGUCAUUUGCUGUAUCAAUUGCAUUCUUGCAGCUCAGAUGUGUACUAUAUUUUUUCUAAUUUUGAAUCAAUUAAUAUUCACUGUUCAGUAUAAAAAUGACGUACAGUGUGAAGGACAAGGACUGCGAGAGAUGACAUACACUGCGCUGACUUCCAACAAUAUUUUAUUGCGUUGCCACAUCGUGUGUUUAUACGCAAAAAGGGCCAUGCGCAGAAAAUGAAAGGCAGUCACAAGGGGU